rnacentral:rRNA from 1 species
CUGUGAGCUCGAUGAGUAGGGCGGGACACGUGGUAUCCUGUCUGAAUAUGGGGGGACCAUCCUCCAAGGCUAAAUACUCCUGACUGACCGAUAGUGAACCAGUACCGUGAGGGAAAGGCGAAAAGAACCCCGGCGAGGGGAGUGAAAAAGAACCUGAAACCGUGUACGUACAAGCAGUGGGAGCCUCUUUUAUGGGGUGACUGCGUACCUUUUGUAUAAUGGGUCAGCGACUUAUAUUCUGUAGCAAGGUUAACCGAAUAGGGGAGCCGAAGGGAAACCGAGUCUUAACUGGGCGUUAAGUUGCAGGGUAUAGACCCGAAACCCGGUGAUCUAGCCAUGGGCAGGUUGAAGGUUGGGUAACACUAACUGGAGGACCGAACCGACUAAUGUUGAAAAAUUAGCGGAUGACUUGUGGCUGGGGGUGAAAGGCCAAUCAAACCGGGAGAUAGCUGGUUCUCCCCGAAAGCUAUUUAGGUAGCGCCUCGUGAAUUCAUCUCCGGGGGUAGAGCACUGUUUCGGCAAGGGGGUCAUCCCGACUUACCAACCCGAUGCAAACUGCGAAUACCGGAGAAUGUUAUCACGGGAGACACACGGCGGGUGCUAACGUCCGUCGUGAAGAGGGAAACAACCCAGACCGCCAGCUAAGGUCCCAAAGUCAUGGUUAAGUGGGAAACGAUGUGGGAAGGCCCAGACAGCCAGGAUGUUGGCUUAGAAGCAGCCAUCAUUUAAAGAAAGCGUAAUAGCUCACUGGUCGAGUCGGCCUGCGCGGAAGAUGUAACGGGGCUAAACCAUGCACCGAAGCUGCGGCAGCGACGCUUAUGCGUUGUUGGGUAGGGGAGCGUUCUGUAAGCCUGCGAAGGUGUGCUGUGAGGCAUGCUGGAGGUAUCAGAAGUGCGAAUGCUGACAUAAGUAACGAUAAAGCGGGUGAAAAGCCCGCUCGCCGGAAGACCAAGGGUUCCUGUCCAACGUUAAUCGGGGCAGGGUGAGUCGACCCCUAAGGCGAGGCCGAAAGGCGUAGUCGAUGGGAAACAGGUUAAUAUUCCUGUACUUGGUGUUACUGCGAAGGGGGGACGGAGAAGGCUAUGUUGGCCGGGCGACGGUUGUCCCGGUUUAAGCGUGUAGGCUGGUUUUCCAGGCAAAUCCGGAAAAUCAAGGCUGAGGCGUGAUGACGAGGCACUACGGUGCUGAAGCAACAAAUGCCCUGCUUCCAGGAAAAGCCUCUAAGCAUCAGGUAACAUCAAAUCGUACCCCAAACCGACACAGGUGGUCAGGUAGAGAAUACCAAGGCGCUUGAGAGAACUCGGGUGAAGGAACUAGGCAAAAUGGUGCCGUAACUUCGGGAGAAGGCACGCUGAUAUGUAGGUGAAGUGAUUUACUCAUGGAGCUGAAAUCAGUCGAAGAUACCAGCUGGCUGCAACUGUUUAUUAAAAACACAGCACUGUGCAAACACGAAAGUGGACGUAUACGGUGUGACGCCUGCCCGGUGCCGGAAGGUUAAUUGAUGGGGUCAGCGCAAGCGAAGCUCUUGAUCGAAGCCCCGGUAAACGGCGGCCGUAACUAUAACGGUCCUAAGGUAGCGAAAUUCCUUGUCGGGUAAGUUCCGACCUGCACGAAUGGCGUAAUGAUGGCCAGGCUGUCUCCACCCGAGACUCAGUGAAAUUGAACUCGCUGUGAAGAUGCAGUGUACCCGCGGCAAGACGGAAAGACCCCGUGAACCUUUACUAUAGCUUGACACUGAACAUUGAGCCUUGAUGUGUAGGAUAGGUGGGAGGCUUUGAAGUGUGGACGCCAGUCUGCAUGGAGCCGACCUUGAAAUACCACCCUUUAAUGUUUGAUGUUCUAACGUUGACCCGUAAUCCGGGUUGCGGACAGUGUCUGGUGGGUAGUUUGACUGGGGCGGUCUCCUCCUAAAGAGUAACGGAGGAGCACGAAGGUUGGCUAAUCCUGGUCGGACAUCAGGAGGUUAGUGCAAUGGCAUAAGCCAGCUUGACUGCGAGCGUGACGGCGCGAGCAGGUGCGAAAGCAGGUCAUAGUGAUCCGGUGGUUCUGAAUGGAAGGGCCAUCGCUCAACGGAUAAAAGGUACUCCGGGGAUAACAGGCUGAUACCGCCCAAGAGUUCAUAUCGACGGCGGUGUUUGGCACCUCGAUGUCGGCUCAUCACAUCCUGGGGCUGAAGUAGGUCCCAAGGGUAUGGCUGUUCGCCAUUUAAAGUGGUACGCGAGCUGGGUUUAGAACGUCGUGAGACAGUUCGGUCCCUAUCUGCCGUGGGCGCUGGAGAACUGAGGGGGGCUGCUCCUAGUACGAGAGGACCGGAGUGGACGCAUCACUGGUGUUCGGGUUGUCAUGCCAAUGGCACUGCCCGGUAGCUAAAUGCGGAAGAGAUAAGUGCUGAAAGCAUCUAAGCACGAAACUUGCCCCGAGAUGAGUUCUCCCUGAC